rnacentral:tRNA from 1 species
GGUUGAUUAGUUUAAAUACGCGUGUUUUGAAAGCAUGAAAUAUAAGUUGACCCUUAUAUCAACUU